rnacentral:rRNA from 1 species
UGGGGAAUAUUGGACAAUGGGCGAAAGCCUGAUCCAGCCAUGCCGCGUGUGUGAAGAAGGUCUUCGGAUUGUAAAGCACUUUAAGUUGGGAGGAAGGGCAGUAAGCUAAUACCUUGCUGUUUUUGACGUUACCGACAGAAUAAGCACCGGCUAACUCUGUGCCAG